UUUUUAGACCUUCCUGGAGGAGUUUGCCACCUAACCGAUAAUCCACGAAAAACCUCUCCAGCUUUUGAAAAACCAGCAUGUAUACCAUCGUCGUCAGUCUACCUCUUGAGAGAAGUAUACUUAAAGAGUCCACUCACUACGUCAGAUCGAGGUGCAGCUAAUAAGCCGGGGGUCGGUGAACUACAAUAUUUACACAAACCACCCUUAAAAACUAAUUAUGAACAAUACUAUGAAAUUAAUAUUCAAAAUAGGAUUCAGCAGUAAUACCCAAAAGAUAGUGGGCAUGAAACAAACAGCUCUAAAAUGCGC
rnacentral:rRNA from 1 species